rnacentral:rRNA from 1 species
AGAGUUUGAUCAUGGCUCAGGAUGAACGCUAGCUACAGGCUUAACACAUGCAAGUCGGAGGGGCAGCUAUUUUAGUUUGCUUGCAAACUAAAGAUGGCGACCGGCGCACGGGUGAGUAACACGUAUCCAACCUGCCGAUAACUCGGGGGAUAGCCUUUCGAAAGAAAGAUUAAUAUCCGAUGGUAUAUUAAAACCGCAUGGUUUUACUAUUAAAGAAUUUCGGUUAUCGAUGGGGAUGCGUUCCAUUAGUUUGUUGGCGGGGUAACGGCCCACCAAGACUACGAUGGAUAGGGGUUCUGAGAGGAAGGUCCCCCACAUUGGAACUGAGACACGGUCCAAACUCCUACGGGAGGCAGCA